rnacentral:rRNA from 1 species
UACGUAGGGUGCGAGCGUUGUCCGGAAUUAUUGGGCGUAAAGAGCUUGUAGGCGGUUUGUCGCGUCUGCCGUGAAAAUCCAAGGCUUAACUUUGGACGUGCGGUGGGUACGGGCAGGCUAGAGUGUGGUAGGGGAGACUGGAAUUCCUGGUGUAGCGGUGAAAUGCGCAGAUAUCAGGAGGAACACCGAUGGCGAAGGCAGGUCUCUGGGCCAUAACUGACGCUGAGAAGCGAAAGCAUGGGGAGCGAACAGGAUUAGAUACCCUGGUAGUCCAUGCCGUAAACGUUGGGCGCUAGGUGUGGGGCUCAUUCCACGAGUUCUGUGCCGCAGCUAACGCAUUAAGCGCCCCGCCUGGGGAGUACGGCCGCAAGGCUAAAACUCAAAGGAAUUGACGGGGGCCCGCACAAGCGGCGGAGCAUGCGGAUUAAUUCGAUGCAACGCGAAGAACCUUACCAAGGCUUGACAUACACCGGAAAAGUGCAGAGAUGUGCUCCCCGUAAGGUCGGUGUACAGGUGGUGCAUGGUUGUCGUCAGCUCGUGUCGUGAGAUGUUGGGUUAAGUCCCGCAACGAGCGCAACCCUCGUUCCAUGUUGCCAGCACGUGAUGGUGGGGACUCAUGGGAGACUGCCGGGGUCAACUCGGAGGAAGGUGGGGAUGACGUCAAAUCAUCAUGCCCCUUAUGUCUUGGGCUUCACGCAUGCUACAAUGGCCGGUACAAAGGGCGGCGAUACCGUGAGGUGGAGCGAAUCCCAAAAAACCGGUCUCAGUUCGGAUUGGGGUCUGCAACUCGACCCCAUGAAGUCGGAGUCGCUAGUAAUCGCAGAUCAGCAACGCUGCGGUGAAUACGUUCCCGGGCCUUGUACACACCGCCCGUCAAGUCACGAAAGUCGGUAACACCCGAAGCCGGUGGCCUAACCCUUGUGGGGGGAGCCGUCGAAGGUGGGACUGGCGAUUGGGACU